rnacentral:rRNA from 1 species
AGUGAACGCUGGCGGUAGGCCUAACGCAUGCAAGUCGAACGGCAGCACAGUAAGAGCUUGCUCUUACGGGUGGCGAGUGGCGGACGGGUGAGGAAUACAUCGGAAUCUACUUUUUCGUGGGGGAUAACGUAGGGAAACUUACGCUAAUACCGCAUACGACCUACGGGUGAAAGCAGGGGAUCUUCGGACCUUGCGCGAUUGAAUGCGCCGAUGUCGGAUUAGCUAGUUGGCGGGGUAAAGGCCCACCAAGGCGACGAUCCGUAGCUGGUCUGAGAGGAUGAUCGGCCACACUGGAACUGAGACACGGUCCAGACUCCUACGGGAGGCAGCAGUGGGGAAUAUUGGACAAUGGGCGCAAGCCUGAUCCAGCCAGACCGCGUGGGUGAAGAAGGCCUUCGGGUUGUAAAGCCCUUUUGUUGGGAAAGAAAAGCAGCAGGUUAAUACCCCGCUGUUCUGACGGUACCCAAAGAAUAAGCACCGGCUAACUUCGUG